AGCGUGCACGGUGGAUGCCUUGGCAGUCAGAGGCGAUGAAGGACGUAGGAGCCUGCGAAAAGCGGCGGUUAGCUGGCAAACAAGCAUUGAUCCGCUGAUAUCCGAAUGGGGAAACCCACCUGUCAUAAGACAGGUAUCUUUAUUCUGAAUAUAUAGGAAUAGAGAAGCGAACCCGGAGAACUGAAACAUCUAAGUACCCGGAGGAAAAGAAAUCAACCGAGAUUCCGUAAGUAGCGGUGAGCGAAAGCGGAUUAGCCCUUAAGUCAUAUAGUGUUUAGAAGAACCGUUUGGAAAAUCGGGCCAUAGAGGGUGAAAGCCCCGUAUUUGAAAGGCGUUAUAUGAUGAAAACGAGUAGGACGGAACACGUGUAAUUCUGUCUGAACAUGGGGGGACCAUCCUCCAAGGCUAAAUACUCCUGACUGACCGAUAGUGAACCAGUACCGUGAGGGAAAGGCGAAAAGAACCCCGUUGAGGGGAGUGAAAUAGAACCUGAAACCGUGUACGUACAAGCAGUCAGAGCCGAUGUUUAAGCAUUCGGUGAUGGCGUACCUUUUGUAUAAUGGGUCAGCGACUUACAUUUUGUGGCAAGGUUAACUGAAUAAGGUAGCCGUAGGGAAACCGAGUCUUAAUAGGGCGUUGAGUCGCAAGGUGUAGACCCGAAACCGGGCGAUCUAUCCAUGAGCAGGGUGAAGGUUGAGUAACAUCAACUGGAGGCCCGAACCCACUGUCGUUGAAAAGCCAGGGGAUGACUUGUGGAUCGGAGUGAAAGGCUAAUCAAGCCCGGAGAUAGCUGGUUCUCCUCGAAAGCUAUUUAGGUAGCGCCUCGUAAGAUGACUUCCGGGGGUAGAGCACUGUUUCGGCUAGGGGCCCAUCCCGGGUUACCAAACCGAUGCAAACUGCGAAUACCGGAAAGUUUAUUACGGGAGACACACGGCGGGUGCUAACGUCCGUCGUGGAAAGGGAAACAACCCAGACCGUCAGCUAAGGUCCCCAAGUGAUAGUUAAGUGGGAAACGAUGUGGAAAGGCCCAGACAGCCAGGAAGUUGGCUUAGAAGCAGCCAUCUUUUAAAGAAAGCGUAAUAGCUCACUGGUCGAGUCGGUCCGCGCGGAAGAUAUAACGGGGCUGAAACUAUCCACCGAAGCUACGGGGUACAGUGGUCAGUUUUCAGUGGUCAAUUGGCAGUUAUAGAGAUGCGGAACAUGCAGGGUUUUGAACAAUUAGAGGUAUUUCAGCGUGCUUACAAGCUUUCAUUGAAAGAGCAUGAGCUAACGUUGCUAUUUCCGAAGAUUGAGCAAAUGUGUGGGCUUGCAGAUCAGAUGCGCAGAGCCAGCAAAGGCAUCUGUGCAAAUAUUGCUGAAGGACACGGGAAACUGGUCGUCUCAAAAGCAGAAUUUCGAAGGUUCAUUCUGAUGGCCAUCGGAUCUUCUGACGAAAUGAGAGUUUGGUUGAGGUAUAGCCUGGAUCUUCAUUACAUAGAAGAUCAUCAAUGGCAAGAACUGAAGACUGAAUAUAGUCAGAUCAGUAAGAUGUUGGUAGGUUUGCACAAGAGUUAUAUUUAACUCGUAGCAAAGACUGAACAGACUACUGAAAACUGAUCACUGGACCGGUAGAGGAGCGUUCUGUAAGCCGUUGAAGGUAAAGCCGGGAGGCAUACUGGAGGUAUCAGAAGUGCGAAUGCUGACAUGAGUAACGAUAAAGGGGGUGAGAAACCCCCUCGCCGAAAGACUAAGGUUUCCUAGCGCAACGCUAAUCGGCGCAGGGUAAGUCGGCCCCUAAGGUGAGCACGAAAGUGGUAGCCGAUGGGAAACAGGUUAAUAUUCCUGUACCAGUCAUGACUGCGAAGGAGGGACGGAGAAGGGCAGAUCAGCCUGGCGAUGGUUGUCCAGGUUCAAGGUUGUAGGUGGUGAUGUUUGGAAAAUCCGGCAUUGCAACACCGAGAACUGAUGUUGAAGCGAAGCUUGUCUUCGCGAAAUGAUUGAUCCCAUGCUUCCAGGAAAAGCUUCUAAGCUUCAGGUCAUGAGUGACCGUACCGCAAACCGACACAGGUAGUCGGGUAGAGAAUACCAAGGCGCUUGAGAGAACUCGGGUGAAGGAACUAGGCAAAAUGGCACCGUAACUUCGGGAGAAGGUGCGCCGCUGAUGGUUAAGCACUUGCUGCGUAAGCUGUUGGCGGUCGAAGAUACCAGGUGGCUGCGACUGUUUAUUAAAAACACAGCACUCUGCAAACACGUAAGUGGAAGUAUAGGGUGUGACGCCUGCCCGGUGCCGGAAGGUUAAUUGAUGGGGUUAGUUUUCGGACGAAGCUCUUGAUCGAAGCCCCGGUAAACGGCGGCCGUAACUAUAACGGUCCUAAGGUAGCGAAAUUCCUUGUCGGGUAAGUUCCGACCUGCACGAAUGGCGUAAUGAUGGCCAGGCUGUCUCCACCCGAGACUCAGUGAAAUUGAACUCGCUGUGAAGAUGCAGUGUACCCGCGGCAAGACGGAAAGACCCCGUGAACCUUUACUAUAGCUUGACACUGAACAUUGAGCCUUGAUGUGUAGGAUAGGUGGGAGGCUUGGAAGUGUGGACGCCAGUCUGCAUGGAGCCGACCUNAGUUCCGACCUGCACGAAUGGCGUAACGAUGGCCACGCUGUCUCCACCCGAGACUCAGUGAAAUUGAAAUCGCUGUUAAGAUGCAGUGUAUCCGCGGCUAGACGGAAAGACCCCGUGAACCUUUACUAUAGCUUCACACUGGACAUUGGUUUUGUUUGUGUAGGAUAGGUGGGAGGCUUAGAAACUGUGACGCCAGUUGCAGUGGAGCCAACCUUGAAAUACCACCCUGACAAAAUUGAUGUUCUAACCCAGACCCGUAAUCCGGGUCGGGGACAGUGUGUGGUGGGUAGUUUGACUGGGGCGGUCUCCUCCUAAAGAGUAACGGAGGAGCACGAAGGUUGGCUAAUCCUGGUCGGACAUCAGGAGGUUAGUGCAAUGGCAUAAGCCAGCUUGACUGCGAGCGUGACGGCUCGAGCAGGUGCGAAAGCAGGUCAUAGUGAUCCGGUGGUUCUGAAUGGAAGGGCCAUCGCUCAACGGAUAAAAGGUACUCCGGGGAUAACAGGCUGAUACCGCCCAAGAGUUCAUAUCGACGGCGGUGUUUGGCACCUCGAUGUCGGCUCAUCACAUCCUGGGGCUGAAGCAGGUCCCAAGGGUAUGGCUGUUCGCCAUUUAAAGUGGUACGCGAGCUGGGUUUAGAACGUCGUGAGACAGUUCGGUCCCUAUCUGCCGUGGACGUUGGAGACUUGAGAAGAGCUGCUCCCAGUACGAGAGGACCGGAGUGGACGAACCACUGGUGUUCGGGUUGUGUCGCCAGACGCAUCGCC
rnacentral:rRNA from 1 species